CCUCCUGUUUCACUGAGUUGUAGUCAUAGUUUUAGUACAAUUAAUGCAAAUUUUUGGUUUUGUUGGAUCAGAAUGAAAUUUAUCAAUCUUGUCUGUCUGUUACUAAGAAUAGCCACCAUUUUGAGUUCUGGAAUGUAAUAGUUUACGGCAUAUGGGAUUUCUUCAUUAAUAAACAAAAUAAUUCACAUUUCUCAUCAGAAAAUAUCAUCUUGGUCAAAUUUAUUUCAAUUGUGAAGGGUAAGCAAAGUUUAAAAAAAAAGCAUGUCUUGUUUAAAAAUUUACAUUGUAACUAUACCGAUGAGGUCCGACAGUUCAGAUGUCAAAGAUAAGACCUCUCAUUGAAUUUUACAAAAUCUGAUAGUCAUACCAAGCAUAAAUGUUUAUUAAAUGGCAAUGAAAACAAU
rnacentral:lncRNA from 1 species